CUUAUUGCUCCCAAAAGGCAUUUAGUCACUUGCGCCUGUGUCUGCGUGUGUGUCCUAUGUAGGUUCGGCGAGGUGAACCUCCCACGCAGCAUCGAGAAAGGUGCUCAGCCCUGGAGCCAGCGAGUCCCAAGUUCGUGGCCCCUGUGAACUCCCCUGAGGAUGUGAAGUUCCUCCACAUCACCCAGUUCUGCAGCCCAGCUUGCUCAGUGCGUGAAAUGCCACCAAAGGAGUCACUCUGGGACUAAGAGCUGACAGCUGACAUGAAACCUCAGAAGACCCAGGAUUCCGUCUGUCACUCACCUAGCAGACAAAGAAGCAAAUCACUACUCGGUGAAGGACACACUGGAUUCCUGCCCUCAGGGAAAUUCUGCUUCCCUGGAGCGAGAAACUACAGGUGCAUGAAGAAUUAGAACUGACACCAGGUGGUUUUCUUCCAGUGGAUUCCUAGAAGGAGAACUGUUGGGCCACAGCUACGAAAACGGUUGAAAUCCUUCCGGAUAGAUAGUGCCGGGUUAUGUCCCCACUUCGUCACAUGGUCACGAACCUUUCUGCGGCCGUCAACACCAGCAGCAUCAACCCCGACAGUCAGACAGCUGAAAACAGAAUCUUAUUUUAUUUUGCAUUUCUUUGGCAAAUAGUAAAAUGAAACAUUUUUUCCUACAUUCGCCGUUUGUGUGUCUUCUUUUGUGAAUGUUCUUUGCCAAGUUCUCUACUGGGAUGUGA
rnacentral:lncRNA from 1 species